rnacentral:rRNA from 1 species
UACGUAGGGUGCGAGCGUUUGUCCGGAAUUAUUGGGCGUAAAGAGCUUGUGGGCGGUUUGUCGCGUCUGCCGUGAAAAUCCGGGGCUCAACCCCGGACUUGCGGUGGGUACGGGCAGACUAGAGUGUGGUAGGGGAGACUGGAAUUCCUGGUGUAGCGGUGAAAUGCGCAGAUAUCAGGAGGAACACCGAUGGCGAAGGCAGGUCUCUGGGCCACUACUGACGCUGAGAAGCGAAAAGCGUGGGGGAGCGAACAGG